rnacentral:lncRNA from 12 species
GGAAACCCAGCCACCUUGGCUCCUAAAGGCCAGAUUUAGAGGAAGAGGGGGGCAAGCUUUGCGUACCUCAUUCACGACACAGCUGGGAGGAAACCAAACUGCCUGAGAUGGUACAAUAAAAAUCAGCCUAAGAAUUCGGUGAAGAAGGGAGCGCAGCAGACAAACAGGCCAGGUGCCGGCGAUGCAAAUGAAAUGGAUGACAGAUGGCGAGUAGCACGCUCACUCACUGCGCGUGUAUAAUGGAUAGAGAAGUAGCUCCUGUUCUGCUGGAUGUGUGUUCAGCUUCAACAUCUUGGCAAAGAGAUGAUGUCACCAGAGUCAUAAGGCAAGUGGCAGACCACCUGUUAAGCAUCCAGGCACAAGUCAAAACCAAGAGCCCUGAGUCUAAAAUGUUCCCUUUUUAAGUCUCAUGAUUCCAAUUUGAAGUUAUACUAUUUUCAACAAAACUCUUUUUUUAUUACCAAAGCUCUAUGUUAAGGAUAAUCAAAUAUUGGAAGACUUGGUGUUUUCAUACUUUCCUAUAAUUACUGCAUUUACCAUGGUACGUACUUCUGGAAAUGGACAGCCUUGCAACCAAUAGAGAAUCCAAACACUCCUAAUCCUGUGCCAUGAAUGAACUAUAUAAAUAUACUGAAUGAAAAAUAGAUGGGUACACAUUGCUUUUGUGGGUCUGUAUCAGAGUAGCUGGAUUAUUGGAAAUAUUCUGAACCGAACUCACCUUUCUUGUGGCCAGCCAAAACCAGGAUUCUGAUUUAUUGCAACUGUAAUGCUCAGUAUUAGCACCUUGUGCUCUUGCUGAAAAUUAAAUUUACUUAUAUCCCUCAGAUAUGCUCCCUCUCUGACAAUUUUGGCCUUUCUUUUGCACAGGAGAAAUUCUGCAACUGAGUUCCAAAGCCUCUCUUUCCUAAUGCAUCUGUAAACAGCUGCAGCUCCCUGUUCAAUAUUGGCUGCAGCUGCCAUAAUGCCCCAGAAGGACAACCAAAUGGAGAGAGCUCCCCUUAAUUGCCUUGCCACCCCCGAUUGAAUUUAUGUUUUGUUUUUAAGUAACAUUUUGUUGCAUUUGCAUUACUGAAAUUACCAGGUUACAGUAAACUAUAUUCCCAAAUCAAUGUCCCCCCAAAGAAAGCAGACAUGAACUUUAUCACCAACAACAAAUUCAAUUUUCACAUUACCUACUGACAAAGAAGCUUGUGCCAACAACACUUGCGGAUUCCUGAAAAGUCCGCCAAACUAGAGGAAAUCCACAAAUCUUAGGUUUUAUUAUCUCGUAGUUUUGCUUUCUAUUUAACUAUUGCUUUUCACCUAUAGGUAAAAACUAAGCUUCGCAUGCUUUGUUUUUAUUUCAAAAUCAGAUAGGGUGACACAUAAAGAUAAUCCCAACUGGAACCCUCAUGCAUUGCUGGUAGGAAUAUAAAAUGGUGCAGGCUUUAUGGAAAACCAUUUGGCAGUUCCUCAAAAAGCUAAACAUUAAAUUACCAUAUGAUCCACCAGUUCCACUCGUAGGUAAAUACCCAAAAGAAUUGUAAAAACAGGGACUCAAACACCAAUGCUCAUGGCAGCAUUAUUCAAAAUAACCAAAAGGUGGAAACAACCCAAAUGUCCAUCAACAGAUGAAUGAAUAAACACAAUAUUGUAUGCA